rnacentral:tRNA from 1 species
GGUUAUGGUUCAGUGGUAGAGCAUUCACUUAGCAAGUGAGAGGCCCUGGGUUCAAUUCUCAGCACCA